UGAAAAGCGGUCUUUUUCCAGCCUUUCCAAACUUCAAACCCCAGUGGUGAAGGUUCACUAUAUUUCUACCAGUGAUACGUUUGGUGCCGAUACUGCUAUAAUGAAACAAUUGAAGAACAACUUAAAGUCAUCAGUACAGUUGGAAAAAAACAACCAGGAAGAACUGCAGCAUCAUCAUUGUUUUCUGUCCAGUUGGCCGCAGUUAUGAAUCAGAAGUAAAGUCUGCCAUGGAAAAGGAAGCAGUCUCAUCAUCUGGUAAACCGUUCAUUGUGGUUCUGAUGCAUCACACCAGAAACCCGGACUAUUCCACUGCAGGAUGUGACGUCUCUGAAGUGCUGAAAAAUGUGUUUUAUGUCCAUGUUUUUUUCCAUGAGACUAAACCAGUAUUACUGGAAUGUUCACAAAAUGCCCGAGCAAUCAAGUUAAUUGAACACGUACUUCUCUGCCAGACAUAGAGAGCUUCUGCUUUUUAUCAGUUUUGUUUUAAGUACUUUAAUUUAUCGACACCUUUCAGCAGAGACCACAAUUGCAUAUUUGAUGAUGGAAUAAAAGAGGGAAAUCUUAAUCUAAAAUUACUGAUCUUCUGACUGUAAACAGCAUUUUUUUUCUUCCAGUUAUCUUCAAUUCUGUGUUUUCUGAAUGUUUAGUUCUGACACAAUGUAUUAUAUGGUGAACUACAAGUUUGUUCUGAUUCUACGGAGGUUUAAGGCCGAAACUAAUCGGCAAAUAAAAGAAAACAAGAACAGAAGAUAAACAGGAAAUGUUCAUCAACUUCAUGCUGUUAGGCUGCAGUCAGUUUCCUGUUUGCUGGAUGAACUUCCUGUGAUGUAAUCCUACUUCUCUGCUCAAACCCUUUCCUACCGAAGGUUCCAAUGUUUUCCUCAACCUCAAAUUGAGAAACUUUAAAUGUUAUGCAGCUAUGAAAAAUAAACAAUGAACGUUGUAGAAAUGUAACAUGUAAAUGUUCUACCGGAUUAAGAUGGUGAAUCUUAAUCCGUAUCUUGUAUUAAUUUUCAUUACAGAUGUUGUUACUGGAACAAACCACCAAUAAGUGUCACAUUUAAUGUUCAUUGGUUUGAUUUCUACACCUUCACUGUAAGACAAAAAUAUUGCUGAAUAAAACAGAAGAAUUUACUGUUUCAUUUA